rnacentral:rRNA from 1 species
CCUACGGGGGGCAGCAGUGAGGAAUAUUGGUCAAUGGACGAGAGUCUGAACCAGCCAAGUAGCGUGAAGGAUGACUGCCCUAUGGGUUGUAAACUUCUUUUAUAUGGGAAUAAAAUGUUCCACGUGUGGGAUUUUGUAUGUACCAUAUGAAUAAGGAUCGGCUAACUCCGUGCCAGCAGCCGCGGUAAUACGGAGGAUCCGAGCGUUAUCCGGAUUUAUUGGGUUUAAAGGGAGCGUAGGUGGAUUGUUAAGUCAGUUGUGAAAGUUUGCGGCGCAACCGUAAAAUUGCAGUUGAAACUGGCAGUCUUGAGUACAGUAGAGGUGGGCGGAAUGCGUGGUGUAGCGGUGAAAUGCUUAGAUAUCACGAAGAACUCCGAUUGCGAAGGCAGUUCACUGGACUGCAACUGACACUGAGGCUCGAAAGUGUGGGUAUCAAACAGGAUUAGAUACCCGAGUAGUC